GGUUGGGUCGUCUAAUUGGAUAAGACAUGGGAUUGCAAAUCCUAGAAUAGCAGUUCAAGUCUGCUCUCAACC
rnacentral:tRNA from 1 species